CCGAGUUUACAACUCCAAACCCCUGUGAACAUACCUUUAUGUUGCCUCGGCGGAUCAGCCCGCGCCCCGUAAAACGGGACGGCCCGCCGCAGGAAACCCCAAACUCUGUUUUUAGUGGAACUUCUGAGUAUAAAAACAAAUAAAUCA
rnacentral:misc_RNA from 1 species